ensembl:lncRNA
GCUAAACACACCAGUGUGUUUUGGUCAGAUGUCUUUGUGUUUUGGAUAUCAGAGAUCGGGUCAAGAAAUUCACAGAAGAAAGACACAGAAGAGGGAUGACUUGAUGAAGUCUGUUAACUUCUUGAAAAAACAAUUCAUGUUUCUUUAUUUGGAAGGAAGGAAUAUUCCUAUGUCAUCUCUGCGUUCUCUAAACUGAAAACCUUUCGGUGGAUGUGGAUGGAUUUUGUUGUCAUAUUCCUUGUGGAUUGAGUUUAAGCCGUGUGUCUGCAGCGAAAGCUCCUGUCUGUCGGACUCCCCGUGCUCUUUAGAACUUUCCAGAUUGAAAUAUUGAACCACCAGAUCCAGCACGGGAAAUCCUGCUACAAACCGGAGACUUCCCCUGGAAGGAGAGACACCGUUUUUUUUCGCUCUGUCCACAUCUGGGAGAUUGUGUUCCCCCGCGGGAAGGUGUAGGUAUUUUGUGUGUGUGGUCGUGGUCCCCGUCUCCCCCGCGCCAUGCAGAACAAGUCCUUCCUGCAGGCACGCUGUGAUGAGCCCAUCAUGACGUCGGACUGGGGGCUUCCUCUGCUGCUGGCGCUGCUGCUGCUGGCGCUGCUGUAUGCCUUCCUCUACCUGCCCUCCAUGGCCCAGCGAGCCCUGCUGGACCAAGCCAUGGCCAACCACACCCUGCAGGGUAACGCCACGCCCGGCUCACAGACCCUGGACGACCACAACUGAGUCUGAGAUGAUGAUGAUGAUGAUGAUGAUGAUGAUGAUGAUGAUGAUGAUGAUGAUGACGGACCGGACAGAUGGACGGAUGGAUGGACGGACAGGUGGCAGGGGACAGAUGUUUUGGGAUGUGUUCUGGGACAGCAGAGAGAACACAGGCAUAAGCACACGGGUGGGACGUGCACAUGCACAUGCGCACGCACACACAUGCCCCCACUUUACACCUCGUGUGUGUUGUUUGAGCUACUGUCAACACCCUGACUGAAUUUAUUUGUGUUUUAUUUGUUCGACAUAAUGAUAACAUUCCUCGCCAUGGCAAUGAAUGGCAGGCUGAGCACCAGUACAAUGUAUGAUAAUAUUAAAUAAGAAUGUUAUAAAACCAUAUCCUCAUUUUAUUUCUAUCAAAGAUGUUUCUUAAAUGCGUGUCUAUAUAA